CGUGCGUGUGGGGAGACAAUGCGUAAAGCAAUUCGCGUCCACUCGCACAUCAAACGCACACAGUCCGCAAGGCUAUUUGCAUGCGAAUGCAUGUUGCGUAUCAUGCGUAUGAAGGCUGAUUGCGUAAAGCUUAACGCGGCCUAACACUCACCUUCCGCACACAUUUCGCAACGCAUUUCGCAUGCUAAUACAUGCUGCGUUUCAUGCGUAUAAAGGCUCAUUGCGUAAAGCUUAACGCGGCCUAACACUCGCCAAACGCACACAUGUCG
rnacentral:lncRNA from 1 species